rnacentral:sRNA from 1 species
GUCUGUGACAAUAGGCCUACUUUUGAGGGUUUAAAUGAGCUCUUACGGUGGAUGCAUCUGCUGUGGGCCUGCACACUACAGCUCUCCUGCCUUUUCCCUGCAUGCCAGAGGCCUCCUCUCCCUGUCCUGAUGGCUGGCUGUGGAUUCUCUUUUACUUCUAGGACUCUAAUCCCUUUGCUUCCCUUGUCUUCUACUGGGAGCCGCUUAACCGUCAGUAUCUGAGAAAGAAAAAUGAGGAACUGGAACAGCUCUACCAGGAUCAAGAGGUGCCCAAGCCAAAAUCCUGGGGUGGCUAUGUCCUGUACCCUCAGGUGAUGGAGUUCUGGCAAGGUCAAACCAACCGCCUGCAUGACCGGAUAGUCUUUCGGCGGGGCCUACCCACAGGAGAUUCCCCUUUGGGGUCCAUGACCCACCGCGGGGAGGAAGACUGGCUCUAUGAGAGACUUGCACCUUAACUCUGGGACCUGCCAGCCCAGAGUGGAGCUAGGGCUAGGUGUCAAGAGAGGGUGUGGGAUUGAGACCCAGGCCCUUCUUUCUAAAGUCAACCCAUUUCCCUCCCUACCCCUUAUAUUCAGGACUCUUCAGAGCUAAUCCUCUAAGUUCUCUGUACUCAGUUGGUUCUCAGUUAGCUGGUCAAGUGGAGUGUAAUGGUGGCAUAGAGAAUCACAAAUGGAAAAUAAUUCCAUAAUUAUUUUUUUGACCUUGCCUAUGAUUGAUUAGGAUAGCUCCCUCUAGGGGUAGCAGCCGGUGUGACUCCCUUUCUGGUGACAGAGAGGGCCCCAGCAGCCCUGUUUACCGUGUGAGUCAUACUGGCCAAAGUUUAGUCCCAGCAUAUGCACCUGAGCCAACCUGGCCAAUCAGAUUGUUUUGUCAAUAAUUUGAAAUUUGAACUGGAGAGAUCCAGAACCUUGGGAGUCAUUGAAGCCAAGUCAUUCAUAGCAGCCAGGAAACAAUAGGAACCAACAGCCUUUGCCUGCUGCUAUUGCAAUUCCCAGGAUCUCUCCUUCCCUGGAUCCCUCCCUCCCAGGUCUGGGCUGUGCAGUUCCUCUCCCUGCCUUGACACUCCCCACUAUCUCUGUAAAAUCUCUCUCUUUUUCUUUUUUUUCUUUUUUUUGACUUAAUCUAGCUAGAAUCUAUUUCAGUUGCUUACAACUUAACUCAUUUAUGGAUAGGACUUUUUUUUUCUUUUUUCUUUUUCUUUUCUUUUUUUUUUUUUUUUUGAGAUGGAGUCUCACUCUGUCGCCCAGGCUGGAGAGCAGUGGCGUGAUCUUGGCUCACUGCAACCUCUGCCUGCCAGGUUCAAGCAAUUCUCCUGCCUCAGCCUCCCAAGUAGCUGGGACUACAGGCACACGCCACCACGCCCAACUAAUUUUUGUAUUUUUAGUAGAGACGGGGUUUCACCCUGUUGGCCAGGAUGGUCUCCAUCUCUUGACCUUGUGAUCCACCCCCCUUGGCCUCCCAAAAUGCUGGGAUUACAGGCAUGAGCCACCACACCCAGCGAGACGGGGUUUCAUUAUGUUGGCCAGGCUGGUCUCCAACUCCUGACCUGAAGUGAUCCGCCCGCCUUGGCCUCCCAAAGUUCUGGGAUUACAGACAUGAGCCACCACGCUUGGCCGGGAUAGUAUAUUUUUAUAGCACUUCUCCUACUGAUUGCUGCCCUCUCUGUGGCUACAAGGGACCCACAGAAUUACAGGGAAGUUACAGGGAAGCAGGUUUCAUCUCAAUAUUGGGAGAGAUUUCAAACAAUCAGACCUGCCUGAGAAGGAGUGGGCUGUCACUAGGAAUUUUUAUUCCCAGUCAGUCAGGAAUUUUGUAGAAGGGCUUCAUGUGCUGGUACCAAUAGGACAGGAAGAUUUUAAUCAGCUUUACUAUUUAUGUUUGUUUAUGGAAACUGUGUGUAUGUGUACAUACAUUUUCCAAAAAGAAAAAUUAAAUGAUUAUAGAGAUUAUGUUUUUCAGACUACUCACAUAUCUGCUUUCCUUACUCCUCACCUCUGCUGAUAAUUCCUAGAUCAUUGGUUUUUCCCCCACACUGGAAUUACCUGGAGAGCUUAGAAAACCCUGAUGCCUGGGUCCCACCCUCAGAGAUGAUUGAACCAGCCUGGCCAGCAUGGCAAAACCCUGUCUCUACUAUGUUAUGAGUGCAGCCUGGGCACUGGGAAAUUUAAAAUCUCCCCAGAGAAUUCUGUGCAGCCAAGGUUGAGAACUCCUAGUCUAGAGCUUUGCUAUACACAGGGUGGUCCACAAGCCAGGAGCAUCAGCAUCACUUGGCAGCGCCUUAGAGAUUCAGACCCCAGACCCACUGAAUCUGACCCUGCAUUUUCACUAGACCCCAGGUGAUCAGCUGCACUAGACUCAACCUCUAAACCAUGACCUCCGACCCUCACAGGCUGUGAUCCUUUAGGGACCCUCAGCUGAGUCCUGUGCUGAACUGUGUUUGUUCUCCUUGAGCACAAGCCGGCUGACCAGGGACAGACUGGAUGAGCAAGCAACCUGCUGGCUAUGGAGAGGAGCCAGGCUUGUUAAAUGUUUGCUGUGACUAAGCCAGGAUCAAAGAACUGACUGUUGCUUGCACUGGCUGGCAUUGAGCUUGCCACUCUGUGAACUGUGCUUCCUUCCCCUGCAUGGACCUGUGCCUCAGUCACUAUUAUCCGCAGGCCUUCUCCAAGGGCAGCCCUCUCCUUGUUUAUCCCUCUUAAGCCUGCGUGCAGGAAGGCACAUUAACCCUGUGGCCCCCUGCAGGCAGGAGGGUGUCGGGUACCCUUACCUACCUUGCCCUUUUUCUUGUACCGUAGGCUGUGCCGUUUAUGAGUAAGUGUAUGUGUGUCUGUGUGUGUGUCUAGGAGUGCUGCACCCACCUUGUGUUAUUGGAGGUUGUGUAUCCCCCUAGCUUUGAGCCUGGUCUCAGAUGUUCCUUUUCCGUUCUCUGUCCAGCCGUUACU